rnacentral:rRNA from 1 species
GGGUUGUGAGGUUAAGCGACUAAGCGUACACGGUGGAUGCCCUGGCAGUCAGAGGCGAUGAAGGGCGUGCUAAUCUGCGAUAAGCGCCGGUAAGGUGAUAUGAACCGUUAUAACCGGCGAUACCCGAAUGGGGAAACCCAGUGUGAUUCGUCACACUAUCAUUAACUGAAUCCAUAGGUUAAUGAGGCGAACCGGGGGAACUGAAACAUCUAAGUACCCCGAGGAAAAGAAAUCAACCGAGAUUCCCCCAGUAGCGGCGAGCGAACGGGGAGGAGCCCAGAGCCUGAAUCAGCAUGUGUGUUAGUGGAAGCGUCUGGAAAGGCGCGCGAUACAGGGUGACAGCCCCGUACACAAAAGCGCAUGUGCUGUGAGCUCGAUGAGUAGGGCGGGACACGUGGUAUCCUGUCUGAAUAUGGGGGGACCAUCCUCCAAGGCUAAAUACUCCUGACUGACCGAUAGUGAACCAGUACCGUGAGGGAAAGGCGAAAAGAACCCCGGCGAGGGGAGUGAAAAAGAACCUGAAACCGUGUACGUACAAGCAGUGGGAGNNNNNNNNNNNNNNNNNNNNNNGGGCGUUAAGUUGCAGGGUAUAGACCCGAAACCCGGUGAUCUAGCCAUGGGCAGGUUGAAGGUUGGGUAACACUAACUGGAGGACCGAACCGACUAAUGUUGAAAAAUUAGCGGAUGACCUGUGGCUGGGGGUGAAAGGCCAAUCAAACCGGGAGAUAGCUGGUUCUCCCCGAAAGCUAUUUAGGUAGCGCCUCGUGAAUUCAUCUCCGGGGGUAGAGCACUGUUUCGGCUAGGGGGCCAUCCCGGCUUACCAACCCGAUGCAAACUGCGAAUACCGGAGAAUGUUAUCACGGGAGACACACGGCGGGUGCUAACGUCCGUCGUGAAGAGGGAAACAACCCAGACCGCCAGCUAAGGUCCCAAAGUCAUGGUUAAGUGGGAAACGAUGUGGGAAGGCCCAGACAGCCAGGAUGUUGGCUUAGAAGCAGCCAUCAUUUAAAGAAAGCGUAAUAGCUCACUGGUCGAGUCGGCCUGCGCGGAAGAUGUAACGGGGCUAAACCAUGCACCGAAGCUGCGGCAGCGACACUGUGUGUUGUUGGGUAGGGGAGCGUUCUGUAAGCCUGUGAAGGUGUGUCGUGAGGCAUGCUGGAGGUAUCAGAAGUGCGAAUGCUGACAUAAGUAACGAUAAAGCGGGUGAAAAGCCCGCUCGCCGGAAGACCAAGGGUUCCUGUCCAACGUUAAUCGGGGCAGGGUGAGUCGACCCCUAAGGCGAGGCCGAAAGGCGUAGUCGAUGGGAAACGGGUUAAUAUUCCCGUACUUGGUGUUACUGCGAAGGGGGGACGGAGAAGGCUAUGUUGGCCGGGCGACGGUUGUCCCGGUUUAAGCGUGUAGGUGUGUGUUCCAGGUAAAUCCGGUUCACUUUAACACUGAGGCGUGACGACGAGGCACUACGGUGCUGAAGCAACAAAUGCCCUGCUUCCAGGAAAAGCCUCUAAGCAUCAGGUAACAUCAAAUCGUACCCCAAACCGACACAGGUGGUCAGGUAGAGAAUACCAAGGCGCUUGAGAGAACUCGGGUGAAGGAACUAGGCAAAAUGGUGCCGUAACUUCGGGAGAAGGCACGCUGACACGUAGGUGAAGUGAUUUACUCAUGGAGCUGAAGUCAGUCGAAGAUACCAGCUGGCUGCAACUGUUUAUUAAAAACACAGCACUGUGCAAACACGAAAGUGGACGUAUACGGUGUGACGCCUGCCCGGUGCCGGAAGGUUAAUUGAUGGGGUCAGCGCAAGCGAAGCUCCUGAUCGAAGCCCCGGUAAACGGCGGCCGUAACUAUAACGGUCCUAAGGUAGCGAAAUUCCUUGUCGGGUAAGUUCCGACCUGCACGAAUGGCGUAAUGAUGGCCAGGCUGUCUCCACCCGAGACUCAGUGAAAUUGAACUCGCUGUGAAGAUGCAGUGUACCCGCGGCAAGACGGAAAGACCCCGUGAACCUUUACUAUAGCUUGACACUGAACAUUGAGCCUUGAUGUGUAGGAUAGGUGGGAGGCUUUGAAGUGUGGACGCCAGUCUGCAUGGAGCCGACCUUGAAAUACCACCCUUUAAUGUUUGAUGUUCUAACGUGGACCCGUUACCCGGGUUGCGGACAGUGUCUGGUGGGUAGUUUGACUGGGGCGGUCUCCUCCUAAAGAGUAACGGAGGAGCACGAAGGUUGGCUAAUCCUGGUCGGACAUCAGGAGGUUAGUGCAAUGGCAUAAGCCAGCUUGACUGCGAGCGUGACGGCGCGAGCAGGUGCGAAAGCAGGUCAUAGUGAUCCGGUGGUUCUGAAUGGAAGGGCCAUCGCUCAACGGAUAAAAGGUACUCCGGGGAUAACAGGCUGAUACCGCCCAAGAGUUCAUAUCGACGGCGGUGUUUGGCACCUCGAUGUCGGCUCAUCACAUCCUGGGGCUGAAGUAGGUCCCAAGGGUAUGGCUGUUCGCCAUUUAAAGUGGUACGCGAGCUGGGUUUAGAACGUCGUGAGACAGUUCGGUCCCUAUCUGCCGUGGGCGCUGGAGAACUGAGGGGGGCUGCUCCUAGUACGAGAGGACCGGAGUGGACGCAUCACUGGUGUUCGGGUUGUCAUGCCAAUGGCACUGCCCGGUAGCUAAAUGCGGAAGAGAUAAGUGCUGAAAGCAUCUAAGCACGAAACUUGCCCCGAGAUGAGUUCUCCCUGAGACUUAGAGUCUCCUGAAGGAACGUUGAAGACGACGACGUUGAUAGGCCGGGUGUGUAAGCGCAGCGAUGCGUUGAGCUAACCGGUACUAAUGAACCGUGAGGCUUAACCUUACAACGCCGAAG